AUCAAUAAUUAAUAAUUAUCUCUUUCUCGACCACCCAACACACGCAAUUAUAUGUAACUAUCAAAAUCCCCCAAAAAUACUGUUUUCAAGGCGGAGUAAUGCUGUAAAACAUUAAUUACACAAACCAAAACAACAAUACAUGUACUAACCCCUGACCAAAUGUUCUAUUCUUUAUUUCAUUCGGAGAAAACGUUGUCCCCAAUUCAAUUGGACAAAAA